rnacentral:piRNA from 1 species
UAAAAUAAAAAUAAAAGUUAAGGGGCUGG